rnacentral:rRNA from 1 species
UACGUAGGGCGCAAGCGUUGUCCGGAAUUAUUGGGCGUAAAGAGCUCGUAGGCGGCUUGUCACGUCGGAUGUGAAAGCCCGGGGCUUAACUCCGGGUCUGCAUUCGAUACGGGCUGGCUAGAGUGUGGUAGGGGAGAUCGGAAUUCCUGGUGUAGCGGUGAAAUGCAUUGAGAUCGGAAAGAACACCAACGGCGAAAGCACUCUGCUGGGCCGACACUGACACUGAGAGACGAAAGCUAGGGGAGCAAAUGGG